rnacentral:rRNA from 1 species
UACAGAGGGGGCAAGCGUUGUUCGGAAUUACUGGGCGUAAAGGGCGCGUAGGCGGCCUUCUAAGUCGAACGUGAAAUCCCCGGGCUCAACCCGGGAACUGCGUCCGAUACUGGAAGGCUUGAAUCCGGGAGAGGGAUGUGGAAUUCCAGGUGUAGCGGUGAAAUGCGUAGAUAUCUGGAGGAACACCGGUGGCGAAGGCGACAUCCUGGACCGGUAUUGA